CAAGCAAGUAGGAGUCAGGUUUUAAACCUAAUGGCUCUUUCAUGAUUAUAUGAUAGGUGGUGCAUGGCCGUUCUUAGUUCGUGGAGUGAUCUGUCUGCUUAAUUGCGUUUCAAAUUUUUAACCGAGGACCGGGUUUUGGUUUGGCUAGUGGUCCUACGAUGACUGUGAACUGUCAUGUCUUCGGAUGUACGACUAUCGGUCUAGGAUCACAUGACUUGCCCCUGGGACUCUUUUGAACGCAACGGACGUGAUUGCAACCCCUUGUUGAGAUUAGAGAUAGUCUCGAUAUUCACUGGCCAAACUGGCUGCUUUAUGCAGUCUUGUUGAAUGGUGGAUAAACUCGGGGGACUGCUGACUAUAACCAUUUCUCAAAACAGAGGAAGGUUGCGGCAAUAACAGGUCUGUGAUGCCCUCAGAUGUCCCGGGCUGCACACGUGCUACAAUGAGUGGCGCAAUGUGCUAAUGUUUUAAGGGAUAAGCGUGCGGCCAGUAGAACGUCGGCAAUUGCCCUGGCGUCUUCUACCGCACGAUUAUCAGCCUUCCCUUAACAGGGCGGGCAACCUUUUCAAAAUACCGGUUUGAUGUUAAAGUAUA
rnacentral:rRNA from 1 species